rnacentral:rRNA from 1 species
AUUGGAAUGAGUACAAUUUGAAUCCCUUAACGAUUAACAAUUGGAGGGCAAGUCUGGUGCCAGCAGCCGCGGUAAUUCCAGCUCCAAUAGCGUAUAUUAAAGUUGUUGCAGUUAAAAAGCUCGUAGUUGAAUUUCAGCCCUGGCUGGGCGGUCCACCUUUGGAUGGUACUGCUCUGGCUGGGGUUCACCUUCUGGUGAGCCGUCAUGCCCUUUACUGGGUGUGGCGGGGAACCAGGACUUUUACUUUGAAAAAAUUAGAGUGUUUAAAGCAGGCCUAUGCUUGAAUACAUUAGCAUGGAAUAAUAGAAUAGGACCUCGGUUCUAUUUUGUUGGUUUCUAGGACCGAAGUAAUGAUUAAUAGGGAUAGUUGGGGGCAUUAGUAUUUAGUAGCUAGAGGUGAAAUUCUUGGAUUUAUGAAAGACUAACUUCUGCGAAAGCAUUUGCCAAGGAUGUUUUCAUUAAUCAAGAACGAAAGUUAGGGGAUCGAAGACGAUCAGAUACCGUCGUAGUCUUAACCAUAAACUAUGCCGACUAGGGAUCAGACGAUGUUAAUUUACUGACUCGUUUGGCACCUAUGAGAAAUCAAAGUUUUUGGGUUCCGGGGGGAGUAUGGUCGCAAGGCUGAAACUUAAAGGAAUUGACGGAAGGGCACCACCAGGAGUGGAGCCUGCGGCUUAAUUUGACUCAACACGGGGAAACUCACCAGGUCCAGACAUAGUAAGGAUUGACAGAUUGAGAGCUCUUUCUUGAUUCUAUGGGUGGUGGUGCAUGGCCGUUCUUAGUUGGUGGAGUGAUUUGUCUGCUUAAUUGCGUUAACGAACGAGACCCUAACCUGCUAAAUAGUUAUGCCAACUUUUGUUGGUAGUCAACUUCUUAGAGGGACUGUCGGCAUCAAGCCGACGGAAGUUUGAGGUAAUAACAGGUCUGUUAUGCCCCUAGAUGUCCUGGGCCGCACGCGCGCUACACUGAUGAAGUCAACGAGUUUAUAACCUUGGCCGGAAGGUCUGGGUAAUCUUUUGAAACUUCAUCGUGCUGGGGAUAGAGCAUUGCAAUUAUUGCUCUUCAACGAGGAAUUCCUAGUAAGCGUGAGUCAUCAGCUCGCGCUGAUUACGUCCCUGCCCUUUGUACACACCGCCCGUCGCUACUACCGAUUGAAUGGCUUAGUGAGUCCCUCGGAUCGGCGUCUCGGAGCUGGCAACAGUACCUGGAUGCUGAGAAGUUGGGCAAACUUGGUCAUUUAGAGGAAGUAAAAGUC